GUGUCAGCCGCCGCGGUAAUACGUAGGUGGCAAGCGUUGUCCGGAUUUAUUGGGUUUAAAGGGUGCGUAGGCGGUCUUCUAAGUCAGUUGUGAAAUACUUCAGCUUAACUGGAGAGGUGCAAUUGAUACUGGGAGACUUGAGUACUGAUGAGGUAGGCGGAAUGGACGGUGUAGCGGUGAAAUGCUUAGAUAUCGUCCAGAACACCGAUAGCGAAGGCAGCUUACUAAGGAGUAACUGACGCUGAGGCACGAAAGUGUGGGGAUCAAACAGGAUUAGAUACCCCGGUAGUCC
rnacentral:rRNA from 1 species